rnacentral:rRNA from 1 species
CGGGGUGCACCAGGCGCGAAAACUUUACAAUGCUGGAAACAGCGAUAAGGGGACCUCGAGUGCCAGGUUACAAAUCUGGCUGUCGUGAUGCCUAAAAAGCAUUGCAUAGCAAGGGCCGGGCAAGACCGGUGCCAGCCGCCGCGGUAACACCGGCGGCUCGAGUGGUAACCGUUAUUAUUGGGUCUAAAGGGUCUGUAGCCGGCCGGAUAAGUCUCUUGGGAAAUCCAGCAGCUCAACUGUUGGGCUUUCAGGAGAUACUGUCUGGCUCGAGGCCGGGAGAGGUGAGAGGUACUUCAGGGGUAGGGGUGAAAUCUUGUAAUCCUUGAAGGACCACCAGUGGCGAAGGCGUCUCACCAGAACGGACCUGACGGCAAGGGACGAAAGCUAGGGGCACGAACCGGAUUAGAUACCCGGGUAGUCCUAGCCGUAAACGAUACUCGCUAGGUGUCGGCCACGGUGCGACCGUUGUCGGUGCCGUAGGGAAGCCGUGAAGCGAGCCACCUGGGAAGUACGGCCGCAAGGCUGAAACUUAAAGGAAUUGGCGGGGGAGCACAAGGGCGAUUGC